CUCCCCCGAGCCUACUCCUCCCAGCCCCUUCCUUGGCUGACCGCCCCUUCCUUCUCCACCCAGCCGGUUGCGGCUCCGCCGGCCAGAGGCUAUGGCGACAGGACGACGCCAAGAUCGAUGGGGAAUGGGGAGGCAGCGCACGAGCUCAAGGUGGAAGGAGACCAUGGUGGCUAGGGUUUCACCAUGGUGGCUAGGGUUUCUUGAGCUCUCAUCUGUCCACCGCCUCUCCCUCCCCGAUUUCCUCUCCUCCUCCAAUCCCGCCUCACUUAAUCCCGUGCAGCAAUGGAAGAGGAACCACAUCGUUGCGGUGGAGCAUCCCGCCGCCUAGGACCGCCUCCAAGAAUGCGUCCAACCUACAGGUUUGUAACUGCAUCACACAUGUGCUACUCAAAGCUAGAGCAACAAAGAAAAUCUGAAAAGAUGUUGAUUUAUGUCUAAGGACAAAGGCUGAUCGAAAGGAACUUGACUGGGUCAAAUCCAUGUGCCUACAAAUUAUGUGUAUUCUAAAGGAAGAUGAUGAAAUGGCUCAGGAAGGAUGCCAACAAGCAUAGCAGUUGUCUGCCCUCCUCGGCCGUUUGUGUACUUGGUGGGCAUCGUCGUUUCGGUCAUCCUUGUGCCCAGAAAGCAUCUAGCUAUGGGGAGGCAAUAGAAGAGGAUGUGGGAGCAAGCGAAGAAGAUGAAGUCCACUAUGGAUUCUUCACUCUACCUGUGGUGUGGCCUGUAGAUUGUUCCUACAGUUUAGAUGAAUAGAAUAUCUGGGUCUUGCUGAAAUGGGAUGAAGAUUUAUGUAUAUUCGUACUCGGAGUGUUACCUAGCACUCCAUCUCUAUGUAUUCCUCGGCACCCAACCAGAUGAUUGCAAGCCACUACAAAAAAAAAACGUCCUAGAGGACGAGCAUGGAGCCGAGUUGAGUUUUCGUCAACCCCUUCCCAUUCCACCAUGUAGCUCUGCUGGAGAUUGGUACUUUGCAUUUGUUCUUACAAUUUGGCUUCUCCCAGCUUUGUAUUUUGGUCAAGGGGUAGGAUUUUGUACUAAGUAGGACAUAAGGCGAGGCAUGUGUUUUAGUUUUGAAGAAAAGAUCAGAAUUGAACUGCAACACGUUUAUGA